rnacentral:rRNA from 1 species
GCGGUGUGGGAUGGGCCCGCGGCCUAUCAGCUUGUUGGUGGGGUGAUGGCCUACCAAGGCGACGACGGGUAGCCGGCCUGAGAGGGUGUCCGGCCACACUGGGACUGAGAUACGGCCCAG